GACAGAGGGUGCAAACGUUGCUCGGAAUUACUGGGCGUAAAGCGCGUGUAGGUGGUCACGCAAGUCAGGUGUGAAAGCCCAGGGCUCAACCCUGGAAGUGCACAUGAUACUACGUGGCUGGAGUACUGAAGAGGAGAGCGGAAUUCCCGGUGUAGAGGUGAAAUUCGUAGAUAUCAGGAAGAACACCCGUGGCGAAGGCGGCUCUCUGGGACGGUACUGACGCUGAGACGCGAAAGCGUGGGGAGCGAACAGG
rnacentral:rRNA from 1 species